GAUGAACGCUGGCGGCGUGCCUAAUACAUGCAAGUCGAGCGAACAGACGAGGAGCUUGCUCCUCUGACGUUAGCGGCGGACGGGUGAGUAACACGUGGAUAACCUACCUAUAAGACUGGGAUAACUUCGGGAAACCGGAGCUAAUACCGGAUAAUAUAUUGAACCGCAUGGUUCAAUAGUGAAAGACGGUUUUGCUGUCACUUAUAGAUGGAUCCGCGCCGCAUUAGCUAGUUGGUAAGGUAACGGCUUACCAAGGCAACGAUGCGUAGCCGACCUGAGAGGGUGAUCGGCCCCACUGGAACUGAGACCCGGCCAAGCCCCCUACGGGAGGCAGCAGUAGGGAAUCUUCCGCAAGGGGGGAAAGCCUGACGGAGCAACGCCGGGUGAGUGAUGAAGGUUUUCGGAUCGUAAAACUCUUUUCCUGGGGAAGAACAAAUGUGUAAGUAACUAUGCACGUUUUGACGGUACCUAAUCAGAAAGCCACGGCUAACUACGU
rnacentral:rRNA from 1 species